CAAACCCGUACUGUGGCCUCCACAGCCUUUCUCCCCAUGUGGGUUAGAGGUGAAUGUCCAGGCUCACCUCUUGUAUCAGGAAAAAAUGGUCACUGAGCAGAGCCUUCUGGAACUGCCAGGAGAGACCCCUUUCAGCUAAGUGAAGAGGAAGGGGCACCCCCUCGAUCAGUGUUAGUGCUAAGGUGGGAAUGGCGCAGAAGGGCGUAGUGUUACGGAGCCCUGGGAGGCCCACUGAGAACACGGGCACCGUAGGAGGCAGAGAGAGCACAGACUGGGCAGCCAGCUAUGGGUUCAAAUCUGGGUCCUGUCACUGGAGCAGAGUGACCUUGAACAAGUGACGUCACAUCUCUGACCCUGCGUUUCCUAUCUGUAAAAUGGGGAUAUUGAUAGGUAUCUUACAGCCUUGUUUUGACAAUGAAACUGAAAUAAAGUUUGCGAAAUGUGAAGCCCAGUACGGGUGUGUAGUGAGCUGUACGAGAGGAUUGGGUUCCUAAUUUUAAUGCUUUUAAGUGGUCCAGGUGCCCGGGUGUUCAGGCCUUGGAGCUGCUGCCCAAAUACCAGCAAUUCCUUGAGGCGGGAGCCCUGCCAGGAGCUCACUCCUGCUGAACACGGGUCUACGCGCACAGCUUUUCAAAGGCCCAGAUAAGGUUCUGACGUUGCUCCCAGUGGCAGCUGGAGGCCACCCUCAGCAUCCAUCCCCAGGUCCGGACCAGCCAGCUGGCCCACUGAUGUCCUGUGCUGGUCACUGGGGAGGAAAGAUGUCCCAGCCUUGAGGUCUGGACUCAGCCCCUGCAGAGGAUACUCAUCCAGAGUCCCAGGCUGCAGAGCCACAGCCCUCGGGGCCCCAUGGGAGUCGGGCCCUGCCUGCUGGUGCCUCCUCCCAACGGCAGAGCCACAGCUCCCUCUGUCUCCACUCCUGUUCCACCCCUUCUGGAUCCCGCACCCGAGGCCGUCCCUGCCAGCCAGACGAACGUCAGGAGCCAUCUGCUGCCUGAGCCAGCACAGCUGCCAGGAACGUGCUCGCGUCCAUCUGCAGCCUCGCUGGUGAAGUAGGGACCACCCAGGGCUUCUACAACUGAGGCGGCUGCAUCCCUUUGUGAAGCACGAAGCUUCCUGCAGAUCCCGGGAGCAGCCCCUGUGGGGCGUUCUUGGUGGACAGAUUUGAAGCAGUUGCACCCAGGGCACCUGGGAGCCACAGCUGGAGCGUGUCAGUCACUGAGGUGUCCGUCAGUGUGGGGGUGUGAUCUGGCCUGAGGUCUCGCUCUGAGAAGUGGGCUCUUCCCAACACUUCCUCCACGGAGGGACAGUGGAGGGUGAAGUUAGAUCCGCUGCCAGAGCCGGAAGCUCCUGCACUGCCCGGGGCUCUGUUCCAUGCGGGUCCGGGAGAAGCAUGGCGUCAGCCCAUCUGGGCCAGGACCGGGUGCUGCCCUGCUCACAGCUUCCCCAUGAGGUGACGUGUGCCCUGAAGUUCCAGAGUCUCCGAGUUCGGGAGAGUCCACGUUUAGGUGACUGUUCUUCAAAUACCCACUUCUAAGGGAAGAGGCCUCAGCCAUUCCUGACACAGAGGUCUCCACAGGGACCACGUGUCCCACCCACAUGAACUCUGCCCAGCAGCCGGAGUCACAGAGGACACACACACCCUCCCCCACAGGUACCUGCACACCACACAUGCACUACACACCACACACACACAUCCACACCCCACACACACCACACACACACCAUACCCACACCCAUCAUACACCACAUCCACACCACAUCCACUCACACACACCCACUCACACACACCCACUCACACACACACACACACCCCUCACCCCAGGCAGCAUUUAGAGUCCCGGCCCCAGCGCACUCUCCCUUGGACAGUGGAACCAGAGGGGCAGGAAGGGUGAUCUUCCACGGUGGGGACCGAGGAAGCCUCGAGGCCCUCAGAGGUGAGCGGGAUGGAGUUCAUGCUGGGAGUGCCUUGUGCUCUUUGCCACUUGUGUAAAUGUUGCUGUCGACCGGGUUCUGUCCCCACUGACUGUUUCCCCUUGGAGGGAGGCAUGGCCCCGUGACCAGCUCUGGCCAGUGGAUUUGACAGGUGAGAGGGGCCACAUCCCUGUGAAAGCAUCUGAGAGCCGAGUGUCUCCAUCUUCCCUUCCCCUGUGGCCUCGAGAGGUUGGGUCCCCAAGUAAGGCCGGUGUGGAGCAGAGACCGCCAGCCCGUGACAGACAGGGCGUGAGAACAACAAUAAGCCUUUGUGGGUUUAGGCACGGAUUUGGGGCUGUUUGUUACCACCACAUCGUUCACCCCCUCCUGCUGCUGGGUGCAGUGAAGAACCACAC
ensembl:lncRNA